GAUGAACGCUAGCGGCAGGCCUAAUACAUGCAAGUCGAACGAGAUUAAGAGGCUUGCUUCUUAUGAAAGUGGAGCACGGGUGCGUAACGCGUAUGCAACCUACCUUAAUCAGGGGGAUAGCCCGGAGAAAUUCGGAUUAAGACCGCAUAAAAACACAGGAUAGCAUUAUCCAAUGUGCAAAUAUUUAUUGGAUUAAGAUGGGCAUGCGUGUCAUUAGCUAGUUGGCGGGGUAACGGCCCACCAAGGCGACGAUGACUAGGGGAUCAGAGAGGAGGACCCCCCACGCUGGUACUGCGACACGGACCAGACGCCUACGGGAGGCAGCAGUAAGGAAUAUUGGUCAAUGGAGGGAGCUCUGAGCCAGCCAUGCCGCGUGCAGGAAGACAGGCCUCUGGGUCGUAAACUGCUUUUAUACGGGACUAAAGCUUUCUACGUGUAGGAAGCUGAAUGUACCGAAGGAAUAAGGAUCGGCUAACUCCGUG
rnacentral:rRNA from 1 species